AUCCUCUUGUAGUUCAUAAGCGUGAUGAUUGGGUGUUCAUGUUGUUGUGUGAUAUGUGCCUCCCUUAAACCUUGUUACGACCUUGGCACGUUGCCCGUCUGACA